CAGGUGCUGGGAAUUUAGCUCUUAAUCUCUGAACUCCACCCACAGCCUUCCCCAGAAGAAGAGAAAAAAAACUUUCCUGACUUGUAAGUGAUGAAAAUAACCACAAGGUGUCAACCUUUACCAAGCUGCAACUUGGAGCCAGCCCUGGCAACCCUGAGUGGAGGUUGUGCUGGAAAACCCAGGUCCUGUGUGCCCGCUCACAGUCGAGUAGCUCCUGUUGUGCUGGAUACCCUCCAUGUGUGUUGUCAGAGUGGUUGCUACCCAAAGAGCUGAUAAUAUGAACAGGCAAAAGAUGAGACAAAAAUCUAAGAGGAUUUGAGUGCUUCAGAGGUUGGCAAAAGGGCCAGAAAUACAACCUGUCACUCUGUGUUCAGAAAAUAAAUGCUUGUGGAUGUUGCA